UAAAAGCGGGGCCGUCUUAGCAUGCAGUCGAACGGUAAGGGAGAGCUUGCUCCCCCCUAGAGUGGCGGACUGGUGAGUAACGCGUGGGUGACCUGCCCUGAAGAUGGGGAUAGCUAGUAGAAAUAUUAGAUAAUACCGAAUGUGCUCAUUUACAUAAAGGUAAAUGAGGAAAGGAGCUACGGCUCCGCUUCAGGAUGGGCCCGCGUCCCAUUAGCUGGUUGGUGAGGUAAAGGCUCACCAAGGCAACGAUGGGUAUCCGGCCUGAGAGGGUGAACGGACACAUUGGGACUGAGAUACGGCCCAAACUCCUACGGGAGGCAGCAGCUAAGAAUCUUCCGCAAUGGACGAAAGUCUGACGGAGCGACGCCGUGUGAAUGAAGAAGGCCGAAAGGUUGUAAAAUUCUUUUGCAGAUGAAGAAUAAUCAUAGGAGGGAAUGCCUGUGAGAUGACGGUAAUCAUGCGAAUAAGCCCCGGCUAAUUACGUGCCAGCAGCCGCGGUAACACGUAAGGGGCGAGCGUUGUUCGGAAUUAUUGGGCGUAAAGGGUAUGUAGGCGGUUAGGUAAGCCUGGUGUGAAAUCUACGAGCUCAACUCGUAAACUGCAUUGGGUACUGCUUGACUUGAAUCACGGAGGGGAAACCGGAAUUCCAAGUGUAGGGGUGGAAUCUGUAGAUAUUUGGAAGAACACCGGUGGCGAAGGCGGGUUUCUGGCCGAUGAUUGACGCUGAUAUACGAAGGUGCGGGGAGCAAACAGGAUUAGAUACCCUGGUAGUCCGCACAGUAAACGAUGUACACUAGGUGUCGGAGCAAGAGCUUUCGGUGCCGACGCAAACGCAUUAAGUGUACCGCCU
rnacentral:rRNA from 1 species